GACGUAGGGCGCGAGCGUUGUCCGGAUUUAUUGGGCGUAAAGAGCUCGUAGGCGGCUUGUCGCGUCGUUCGUGAAAACCCGGGGCUCAACUCCGGGCUUGCGGGCGAUACGGGCAGGCUAGAGUUCGGUAGGGGAGACUGGAAUUCCUGGUGUAGCGGUGAAAUGCGCAGAUAUCAGGAGGAAUACCGGUGGCGAAGGCGGCAUCCUGGACCGGCAUUGACGCUGAAGCGCGAAAGCUAGGGGAGCAAACGGG
rnacentral:rRNA from 1 species